rnacentral:rRNA from 1 species
UGCCAGCCGCCGCGGUAAUACGGAGGGAGCUAGCGUUGUUCGGAAUUACUGGGCGUAAAGCGUGCGUAGGCGGAUCGACAAGUUGGGGGUGAAAUCCCGGGGCUUAACCCCGGAACUGCCCUCAAAACUGUCGAUAUAGAGACCUGGAGAGGUAAGCGGAAUUCCUAGUGUAGAGGUGAAAUUCGUAGAUAUUAGGAAGAACACCAGUGGCGAAGGCGGCUUACUGGACCGGUACUGACGCUGAGGUACCACAGCUUGGUGAGCGAACAUGCUUAGAUA